AAAUUGUAUUACAAAAUAUAAUUAUGAGGGUAAAGUUGAUCUGUACAUAUUCUAUGUUGCUUCAUGGUUACGAAUUGAUCGGGAACCUUAAUAAAAUCCCAUCAACAAGACAGUGAAGCUCUUUUCAUUUCGAAAAUACAUAAAAGAAAUCUAAUUUUCUCAACGAUCCAGAUAUGUAAUAUUUAAAAUUAUAUUACACAUCAAAGAGCAAGUUGAGUAUACAUUUAUAUAGCUUCAUGGUUACGAAUUGAUCAAGAACCUUAAUUAAUCUCGUCAACAAGACAGUGAAGCAUUAAAUAAUAUUCAAAGAAAGAUCGAUCGAUCAAUCAAUCUUCUAUUUAAUAAAAAAAAAAGAUAAUAAUUAAGAAGCCAGAUCUGGAGAUUAGCUCUUCUUCUAGACCAUAACAUAAUGAUA
rnacentral:lncRNA from 1 species